GAUGAACGCUGACAGAAUGCUUAACACAUGCAAGUCAACUUGAAUUUGGGUUUUUAACUUCGGUUUGGGUGGCGGACGGGUGAGUAACGCGUAAAGAACUUGCCUCACAGCUAGGGACAACAUUUGGAAACGAAUGCUAAUACCUAAUAUUAUGAUAAUAGGGCAUCCUAUAAUUAUGAAAGCUAUAAGCGCUGUGAGAGAGCUUUGCGUCCCAUUAGCUAGUUGGAGAGGUAACGGCUCACCAAGGCGAUGAUGGGUAGCCGGCCUGAGAGGGUGAUCGGCCACAAGGGGACUGAGACACGGCCCUUACGCCUACGGGAGGCAGCAGUGGGGAAUAUGGGACAAUGGACCGAGAGUCUGAUCCAGCAAUUCUGUGUGCACGAUGAAGUUUUUCGGAAUGUAAAGUGCUUUCAGUUGGGAAGAAACAAAUGACGGUACCAACAGAAGAAGUGACGGCUAAAUACGUG
rnacentral:rRNA from 1 species